CCCCAUAAUAUAAUGAUUGGCAUCAAUUAUUAUUGAAAACUCCGGUGGAUAGAGAUGGGCACGCGCAAGAUUAGAUAGUUGGUGAGGUAACGGCUCACCAAGUCUGUGAUCUUUAGGGGUCCUGAGAGGGAGAUCCCCCACACUGGUACUGAGACACGGACCAGACUCCUACGGGAGGCAGCAGUGAGGAAUAUUGGACAAUGGGUGAAAGCCUGAUCCAGCCAUCCCGCGUGAAGGAUGACGGUCCUAUGGAUUGUAAACUUCUUUUGUACAGGAAUAAACCUACUCUCGUGAGAGUAGCUGAAGGUACUGUAAGAAUAAGCACCGGCUAACUCCGUGCCAGCAGCCGCGGUAAUACGGAGGGUGCAAGCGUUAUCCGGAUUUAUUGGGUUUAAAGGGUCCGUAGGCGGUCCUGUAAGUCAGUGGUGAAAUCUCAUAGCUCAACUAUGAAACUGCCAUUGAUAC
rnacentral:rRNA from 2 species